ACCUACGGGGGGCAGCAGUAGGGAAUUUUCGUCAAUGGGCGCAAGCCUGAACGAGCAAUGCCGCGUGAACGAGGAAGGUCUUCGGAUCGUAAAGUUCUGUUGAAGGGGAAAAAGAGCGGAGAGAGGAAAUGGUCUCCGAUUGAUAUUACCCUUCGAGGAAGUCACGGCUAACUACGUGCCAGCAGCCGCGGUAAUACGUAGGUGGCGAGCGUUAUCCGGAAUGAUUGGGCAUAAAGGGUGCGUAGGCGGCCUGCUAAGUCUGGAGUGAAAGGUACCGGCUCAACCGGUACAGGCUCUGGAAACUG
rnacentral:rRNA from 1 species